rnacentral:rRNA from 1 species
UGGGGAAUAUUGGACAAUGGGCGAAAGCCUGAUCCAGCCAUGCCGCAUGAGUGAAGAAGGCCUUUGGGUUGUAAAGCUCUUUUAGUGAGGAAGAUAAUGACGGUACUCACAGAAGAAGUCCUGGCUAACUCCGUGCCAGCAGCCGCGGUAAUACGGAGAGGGCUAGCGUUAUUCGGAAUUAUUGGGCGUAAAGGGCGCGUAGGCUGGUUAAUAAGUUAAAAGUGAAAUCCCGAGGCUUAACCUUGGAAUUGCUUUUAAAACUAUUAAUCUAGAGAUUGAAAGAGGAUAGAGGAAUUCCUGAUGUAGAGGUAAAAUUCGUAAAUAUUAGGAGGAACACCAGUGGCGAAGGCGUCUAUCUGGUUCAAAUCUGACGCUGAAGCGCGAAAGCGUGGGGAGCAAACA